AAUCUACUGACGUUUAAUAUUGGCAUGAUUGAUGGUGGACUGACGACUGAUAGGUGUAGGUAGAAAGGGCUUUGCGAAGAAGGAAGAUAUUGUUACUGCUAGUAGACGAGUGGCGAUUGGUCGAUGUAAACGGAAAGGUCUUUGUUAAGGUUAUAUAUUGAGGUUAUAUAUAUAAGAAGAUAUUGUUACUUCUGCUGGUCGAUCGAUGACGGCUGGAAGUAAAUGGACAGCAGGCAUACGAAUGCGAAAUGAGAUUUUGAAGAAACAGAGCAAUGCUCAAAUAUAUGGAGACAAAGCCGGAACGAAAUAUUCCACCCGUAUAUUCUCCAAAAUUCAUAUCUUGGUCUCGGGAUGGCUGCAGUUGAUUCUGCCGGGAACAUCGAAUCAAGGCGAUAUCAAUCUUACAAAUCGGAUUAAAGUAAGU